ensembl:snRNA U6 U6 spliceosomal RNA
AUGCUUGCUUUGGCAGUACAUAUACUAAAAUUAGAAUGAUACAGAUUAGCAUGGUCGCUGUGCAGGAUGCCAUGUAAAUUCGUGAAGCAUUCCACAUUUUU